CCCUGUCACAGAGGCUUGAAGGACACAGAUCAAUCAAACUUUCAGAGAAAGCUUUCCAAAAAUUUUAACCAUGAUUUCAGCUAUGUCCCAAUCUUACAAAACAAGAAGCACAAUGCAGUGUGGAGGCAAGGAAUAGGAAAAGUCAAUGGUGGUGGGAUUUGCUGUGUGAGAAGACACACACACACACACACACACACACACACACACACACACACACACACAAAUAAAAGAGGAAGGAAGAUGGGGGCACAGGAGUUGUGGGUGAUGAGGGAAACAGGUUUGAAUUGUGGAUUGCUACUACCAUGGCUGGCCACACACAUUCAUUCUCUGGAGUAAUCAUGAAAUGUAGAGAGAAAAUGCAAAGCAAGGAAGGAUAAACACUUUGGUGGAAAAGGACAUUUAAUAGGAAGAAAUGUCUAUAAAGGGGUUUAAAAAUAACUUUUCCUUCUCGAAAAUCUGCUGUUUCUUUACAGAUCUCAGCUCAGAGCAAGGUUCCCUUUGUCCUGGACUUCUCUGUUUUCUGAACUCAAGAUUAAACACACACACACACACACACACACACACACACACACACACACACACACACACACACACCUUGGAAGCAAUUAAUAAGCAGCUUGUAUAACACCCACAUGAUGAGCACUGUCCAGUAGCAGCUAAAUUCAGUGAAGUAGACGAAUGUAUUAACAAGGAAAACAAAGUUCCAAAAUGUUUAAUGGGAAAAAAAUCCUUCAGGAUGAUGCAAAAUUCCAGAAACAUAUCAUGCAUUGAAAGAUUAAAAUCCAGAGUUAAUAAUUUUCAUGAAAAAUCGUAAAUAGCAAAUGCAUGAUAUAGAGUAUCUUUAGGGAGAUAGUAAGGAGAACACAACUGGGUUGAGGUGUGUGGAAGAGAAGACAUUUCUGUUUGUAGUUUUGUGUUACUGCCUUUCUUCUCUGUUAGAAACAGAAAAUUUCCCAGCAUUCUAAAAGGACUCAUGGCUACCUAAAGAUGUAAUUAUUUUUUCCAGCUUCCCUUGCAGCUAUGCAUGGUCCAGGACUAAAUCCUUGCCAAGGUAAUGCAAUGAAAAUGUUCCAUUUCUUUAGAGGAAACUUGUUUUAGUUCUCUAUCCCUUCUCCCAUGUGCUAGAAUAUGGAUGAACUGCUAGUAGUCCAGCCUCAACUCUCAGCCCACAAAUGUUAUCCAAACGGAAUUUAAGAGUCUAGUUUAUAUUCCCAUGGUUUGUCUCUCUCAUCAAUUCACUCAGCAAGUAAUUACUGAACACAUACUAUGUACGGCAACCUAAGUGAGGUAUUAGGGACAUGGUGGUAAGGAAGCUCCUGAUGGAGCAUGUGUUUGAUCCUAAAAUCUCUGCACUUGAACUUGCUCAUGAGCAGCCUCUGUGUCCCUUCCGUGUGUGUGUGUGUGUGUGUGUGUGUGUGUGUGUGUGUGUGUGUGUUCAUGUGUGUGGGGUGAGUAUGCAUGCAUGUAUGCAGGUGUGUAGGCACACAGCAUGUGGGUAUGAGUGCCUGUAGGUGCACAUAUAUGUGGAGGUUGAUUCUAAAAUCAUCCUCAAUUGCACUUCUACCUUAUUCAAUGAGAAGCAGGAUAGCUCAGACCGACCCAGAGCUCACCAAAGCAGCUGGUUUCACUAGCCUGCUUCCUCCUGGGAUUCCUUGUCUCAGAGUUUUACCUUGUGAGGUUGGAAUUACAGGCAGCUGCCCCACCUAUCUGGUAUUUAUAUGGGCUCUGGGAAUCCCAACUCCAGUCCUCACACUUGGAAGGACUUAACUACCGAGCUUUCCCCAGCCCAGUUUCUAUUUUUAUUCUAAACUUAACUCGUGUUGAAAGAACACUGCCCAGGGGCACUGAUUUCCACUGAUUCAACCCAAUUAAAACAAUUCAGACUGAGUUUUUGAGGAGGACUUUUGGGAGUUUUUUUUUUUUUUUCAAGAGUUUUAAAGUUUGUUCUGAUUCUUUAAGAAGGUAUUUGAUUAUUAAGAAAUACGUAACACACAAAAGUGAGUAAAAGUCGUCUGAAUGGAGAAGAAUAAGAAAAAUGAGCAGUAAAGAGUCUAUGAAAGAGUGAGAAGUGACCGGUUACGAGAGACUUAUCAGGUAGUAUACAUCUCUCAAGUACCACCCCAGCCAUCGAUACUGUUGGGUGCAUGAUUUGAUUUAUGUGGUAGUAACCAAUUAAUUUUUACUGUUAUAUUUUAUUUUAAUCAGGUGAACAUUGUCGUAGGGUUUCUGUUGUGGUGAUAAAUACCAUGACUGGAAGCAACCCUGGGGAAAAGGUGUUGUUUCAGCUUCCAUGUCUUGAUCACACUCUCACUAAGACAAGCCAGUGCAGGAACUCAAGGCAGGUACCUGGAGGCGGGAGCUAAAGCCAUGAAGGAGUGCUGCUUACUGGCUUGCUGCUCAUAGCUUACCCAGUCUAUCUACUUUCUUACACAACUCAGGAUGACCAGCCUAGGAAUGACACCACCCGCAGUAGGCUGGACCAUUCCACAUCAAUCAUCCAUCAAGAAAACAUGUCACAGACUUGCCUACAGGCCACUAUUACAGAGGGAGGCAUUUUCUUAACUGAGGUUUGCUCUUUCUCACAUAACUGGCUUGUGCCGAGUUGACAUAAAACUAGCUGGCAAAAAUAUAUUGCAGUUUGUUUAUUUCUCUGCAGAGGGUCAGUGAGGUCAUUUUCUGUUGACGGCUGUGAAGAGCAAUCUUGUGAAAGAUCAUUUCCCUUGCAGGUUAGAGUUUCUCCCAGGUAUUUAGGAAGUGCUUAGGAAUAGAGUCCUAGGGGUGUGGGGCCUGUCUGCCCAAUCCUGCUUCCUAACAAACGUCAAGCUAACUCUGGCCAGGUGGUUGGAUGUCUUUAGAUUGUCACCAGCAGUGUGUAAGAGUCAACACUUUGACUUUGCUGAAAUUGUAAUGUUUCCAUUUAAAUGUUCAUGGACUACUUUCUUAUUGUGGUUCUAAUUUAUGGUUUUGUAUCCCCCCUUUUCUUUUUUUCUGAUCACCUUAAGGUUAGGCAGCUUUGCACAUAAACUGGGUCAUUUGUGGUACCUUAUCUAUGAGAUGCCCGUGUUUUCCCUUUUCAAAGUCGUGUGUGGGGGAGCAUGUGUGUGUGAAGUGCGAUUUUUGUGUCCACUUUCCCUUUUCAAUUCUGGGAUUUUGUCUGGUUUGAACCUGUGUUUGGGUCUUGUGUGUGCUGUCAGUCUCCAUGAGGGGAUAGGUACAUCAGGCCUAUUGUGUCUGGAAGCCAAAGUCAGUUUUUAUUUUAAUAUGAUGACAUGUCUUUAUAUUAUGGGGUUUAUUGUUAGGGAAAAUCUCUGUACUUUGAGGUUUAAAAGCAUUCUAUAUCUUAUCCUACAGUUUCCAUGAUUUGACCUUUCGAAUUUGUCUUACAUCUAAAAGCAGUAACUGAUUUUUAUAUACAAUAAGGGUUAAUCAUUAAACCUAUUUAUUGUCUUGUAGAUAACCAAUUAUGUUCUUCAGAACAGUAGGGCAGGGAGCAGGGAGAACAAGGCUGAACUGUCAUGACCCCUCCUACUGAUCUCUAAUUCCUGCUUCAGAUUUUUUGAAUGAGAUUAUUUUAGAGUUCAAAUUUGUUCAUUACUCAUCUUAUAUAAUGCCAAUAAUACACUGUCCCUUUAUAGGGAAGUGCUUAGGAAUAGAGCAGGCCCAUCUCUCCAAUUUUAUCCUCCAAAGGUCAUGACAUGCAUCCUAUAGGCUCAGGCCAGCACCUACUUCACACUUGCCACAGGUCUGGGCCUGGUGUCUUCCCAGCAAGUGAGCUGUGUUCUCAGCCCUGAGCUUCUUCAGCCAAAACAGGCAAAGCAUCAGCUCUUUCUCUACCUGUUUUUCUACUCAGGGCACUGGUUAGGGAUCGUCAAUCUGACACAAUGCUCAGGGUGCUGGUUAGGGAUUGUCAACCUGACACAAUGCUCAGGGCACUGGUUAGGGGUUGUCAACCUGAUACAAUACUAAGCUGCUGGUUAGGGGUUGUCAACUGACACAAUGCUCAGGGUGCUGGUUAGGGAUGGUCAACCUGACACAAUGCUCAGGUUCUGGUUAGGGGCUGUCAACCUGACACAAUGCUCAGGGUGCUGGUUAGGGGCUGUUCAACCUGACACAGGCUAAAGUCACAUGGGAAGAGAGGCCCUCAAUUGAGCCACUGCCCAGAUGGUAAGUCUUUGAGAAAUUGUAUUGGUUGAUAACUGAUGUGGGAGGGGCCCUGGCCACUGUGGGAAGCACCAGUCUUACAUAGGUAGUCUGGGCUAUAGAAGGAAGCUAGCUGAGCAUGGGCCAGAGAGUAAGCCAUCCAGUGGUGCUCCUCCAUGGUUUCUGUCUUCUGGGUCCUUGAGUCCUGCCUUGAUGUCCCUCAGUGACAGACAGUGACCUGGAAGUGUAAGGUAAAGUGCAAUCCUAAUUAGUCUUAAUAUUAAAAACCUAGAGUCGGAUAUCAGGGUAAAAGCUGAAAGAUAGAGAAGUAAAGGACCAGGCACAGUCACUGCUUACCCCAACUAAGAUCCUCACUACGCCCAGCCUUAUCACUUCCUGUCUGUCUUGCAGACCUCCAGACAUCUAUGGUUAACUAGUGGCUAGCUCUACCCUGUGAUCUCCAGGCAAGCUUUAUUUGUCAGAACACGAAACACCACAACAAUAAGGAGGAAAGAUCUUGCUUCUUGGUAUUUAUGCCGAAGUACAUAAAGAAUGCUGGGGAGCCCUCGUUCUCAAAAACUAAGCAGGCUUUUAGCUGUUGGGAUCCCAUAAAACUCAAAAGGACAAAUAUGACCUACACUUGUUUUGCUGAAGCCAAUUUUCACAACCUGGUAUUUAAGUUGAGCUCAGGGACAUUUGAGUAAUCCCACAGGCUCUCUGGGCUCUGGUAUUCAUCUGCAUCUUAGUUUUCUGCUUGGGGAUUUUGGAUCACAACUGCCAACCUGGGAAAACCACAUCACUUACACGAGAUUAAGCAGUCCCUAAUUAGUUUUCCUGACCCUCUUGUAUACCAAUAAAUGGCCCAUUUACAGGACAUUAAAACAGAAUUCUUUCCAUUAAAAAUGACUUCCUUGCUAGUGAACAAGACCUAGGUUUAACACACAUGUUAGUUAACAUGAGGUUGUCCUAAUGUACAGUGGACACUUUCCAGUGGGAAGUGAUUGGAGGACUAAUUAGGAUUCUUGGCUCGGUCAAUUAACUGGGAGGGGAGUCUCUCUACGGUGAUGUAAAUAUUGCUUAUAUUCUUAGUUUGUUUUGGGCCUAUUACGUUUUGAACCAAAGAGCUAGAGACUGAAGUGAAAUCCUAUUACAAGCUUUGGAAAAUGAUGAGCCUAAAAAGGCAUUUUAUAUGACAUCAUCAGGUCAGUUUUAAAGUUUUAUUUAGAUAUGCAAAUGCAGUAGCCACUUCUUUUGGAUUCUGACGCACACCUCAUCCUAUCGAAAGCACUGUGAGUCCCUUGGUGUGCAUAGUAGGCAUCUCAUGAUUAGUCUAGGGAACUGCACUAUUUUGAGGGGUGAUUGCUGUUUAUAGCACUAAGUCUGUUUUGCCUAAGAAAGCCAAUUACAGAACAGUGAGAACAUAUGUAGAGAAGAAAGAGCUUAGCUAGGAGGGCGAAUCUCCACUUCCCCUUCCUAAGGGUGUUUGUGGGGUAAAGAAAAAGGGUGGUAUGGGCAUUGAGAAAGGUAUUUACAAGUGAGAGAAAGCAAGAUUUGAUGUCAGCCGGGGGAGGGGGGUGGUAUCUGUGGCACCUUUCUAUACCCGUGCUUUGAAAUGCCCCAGCUAAGCACAUUUUAUAGAUGACUGUUUGCUCUUCAGCAUCCAAACACUGUCACUGGACAUUUGCACAGGCCUGGGUGGUGGAUUUUUGGUUUCAAAUCAGGUUGGAACUCCCUUUGAGUUCCUGAAAGCAAUUAAGCAGCCGUGAUGAUUUCGACCCAGACACUUGGGAGUCAUUUCCAGCUGGUGGCACUAUUUAUGAUGGUGAUGGAAAUGAUAGGCUACAGGGCCAACCUGGCUGAGACAGGCCACUGGAGCAGUGUCCACAGACCCUUGCUUGACCUCGCCUGGCUGCUCUAAGUUGGGAGAACCGCUAUCACUAUCUGUUCUCUUGCCAUGGUGUUCUGCCCAAGCGUCUAGGACCAGAGAAACCCCCAAAAUAUCCCAGCUGGUCACAAGCCUCUACCAUAGACAGUCUCUUGGUCGAAUGAUGCUUCCAAUUGGAUUAGUCUCAUCAGGAGCAAGGAUGUGUGUCCUGGGACCCAAGUUUCAAAGCAUCUACAUGCCCCUGUAGGCAGAAGGUUAAUGAAAUCCCACAAGGAUGCACCAUAAAUAUACACAGUAAAUAUCAUUUUAUACACCCCAGUAUAGGCCAUAUACUUAUUUUCUGGAGAGCAGUGAAAGGUAAGUACAAAAGGCUCCAGACAAACACGAAUUCUGAGCUCAUGUGAGGUUGAAGCCAAAUCACUCGGGUCAAAGGGACAGUCUACAGAGGAAGGUAGAAGAACAAGUCUAACUGGGCCAAUGCUGACUCACAGAGGGUCCUGUGGGUUCAUGCAGCCAAGCUGGGGUCACCUGUCGAGUCUCCUGAAAGUAUAUCUGAGAUGGAUAGAUAGGCUAUAAUGUUGGCAGAGGCCCAUUGUUGGUUCUGUGACCUGUGGUGUAGAAUCUAUUAGGAUAGGAAGGACGCUUCGGGAAUUUGUGUAUCUGCCCCCAUCGUUUAGCUAAUAGAGUGAGUCAGCAGGAAUGUUCUAUCCCCAAACGAAUCACAGAGACUGGCACUUGUAUUAGCUACUUUUUCUUGUUGAUGUUUCAAGAUCCCUGACUGAAGCAAUUCAGGAACGAUCCAUUGAGGUAAAAGGGAUACAGUUUGUUAUGGUGGGGGAAGAAUACAGCUGGAGAAUGGGGUAGUUAUUCCUAUUGUUUCUACAGUCACUAAGCAGAGAGAGGUGAAUUCUUGCUUUCUCCUUCUUCCCUUUUUAUUCACUUCAGGAUGCCAGCCCAUUGGAUGAUACCACUAUGCACAGGGUGGGUCUUCCCGCCAAAGUAAAUCUCUGUAGAAAUGACAACCAGACAACUCAAAGAUGUCUCUGCUAGGUUAUUUUAAAUGCAGUUGGCUGACAAUGAAGGUAUGCAUUACACUAAACUUAAGGGCGUGAAGGCAGUCUCCUCGUGUCUCCACUCUCCCCCUGUUCUGCUUGCCCCUUCACCCUCUGCAGAUAGAGGACACAAGAGGAUCACUGCACAUUUAAUAUCCCCGUGCCUGUGUACAUGACAUAUACAGACGGUCUCCAAGCCAGAAGCCACUGGGUUUGUACACUGCACCAGAGACUGGAGACAGUGAGAAUAAUACUAGGAAAAUGAGGAAAGAUCAUCUGGGGUAGAUGUUCGAGAGGGGCACAGGUGACCAAGUGUUUGUUUCACACGUGGGAGGCCACCAGAAACCAUCUGCUUCUGCAGAAGCCACAAGAACCCAGGUGGGUGUGUGGCUUUGUUUUAUCUUUGUUUUUGCUUUUUGGGUUUUUUGAGACAGGGUUUCUCUGUGGCUUUGGAGGCUAUCCUGGAAAUAGCUCUUAUAGACCAGGCUGGUCUCGAGCUCACAGAGAUCUGCCUGCCUCUGCCUCCCGAGUGCUGGGAUUAAAGGUGUGCGCCACCACCACCCAGCAAAAAACUGUUAGUGCUCUCAUUUCUAGCUGGAUUUCCACACCAGAAGGUCAUCAGGGAAGAUGUGUUACAGUAAAGACUGGGGGAGGUGACUCUGCAGACUCUCAGGAACCUGGGUUCCUGACCAAGAAAAGAAGGAUGUCUCGAAGGAAGGGGAUUCCUUGUCUUCACUUGGGCCUUUGGUGUACUGUGGGAAUUUAAGCUGGCUAUUGUAGGCACCAUCUUGGCAAGUGACUGGAGACCUUCCCAAGGGCACGAUAGACCUCUUGAGGGCAGAAACACCAUCAGUCAGAUUUCUGCAUAGGGCAAUUAAAAUGGGUAAGUGAGGAAAGGGAUUUGUAUUUCAAUAUAUCCAAAGGACAUGUUAAAGAAGUUGGACCUCUGAAACAUUUUGAACAUCAAAUAGUCCCACAGGCAUACACACAGUCGCGUGUUGCUGUUUCGUCCAGGCUGGUGGCAGCAUUUUUGGUAGUAAUGGAUACUUUGGGAGGUGGGGCCGAGACAGGCCACUGGAGUGGGGGCCACAGACCAAUGUUUGCUCUGCCCUCAUUCCUGUCUGCUGUAAGGCUGCUGGGAAGCUCAAUCUCUACCUACUUCUAUUGAUGCAGUGUCUGUCCAAGCUUCUACACCAGGUGAGCAGGAUUUGAACCCUGUGAAACUGUCACCUAAAACAUCUUUCCACUCCUAGACAAUCCUCCCAGGUGUCUGGUUCGUAGCUAUAAACCCCUUUCUAAGUUGCAGAAGAAGAAACAGGCAGGAUCUCGAGAGACUGGACAAGCAGCUCUCCUCUGGAGAAGAUAUGAGGAUAUCUUAAUCAUAUAACUGUAACGAUAAGUCUUUACUCCAUCCGCCCAAGCCCCGCCACCACGUGGGCGCCCAGAAUAACACACAGAGUCUUAUACUAGUUUACAACGCUGCUGGCCAAUUGACUAGGAUUUCUUACUUGCUAGCUCAGUCUUAAGUUUCAACCAUAAAAACUCAUCUUAUCGGACACCAGCUGCAGGUGUCUUCUCUUGCAGGGAUCACAUGGUGGCUCCAUAGAGAAGAGAGCAGGAGGAAGAGGAAGAGCAAGAGAGAGCUAUUUCCUGUUUAUAUUCUGAGUCUGACUGCUAUGUCACUUCCUGCUUGGAUCUUUACUACAUUUCCCAGAAUCCUCCUUGACACCUAGUCCCACCUAUCUUGCUUUCCUAUUGGCCAACAGUACUUUAUCAACCAAUGAGAGAAUCAUAUACACAGAAGGACCUCCCCCAUCAUGUAACAGAGCCUUUUAUUGUUGGUGGGCUUGAAUAUAACUGAGUAGCACUGAGUAUGCUUUAUUAGACACAGUUCAUGUGCCAUCCCACACCAGCUUGUCUCUCUGGCCUCUACAUAGGAUGCUCACCCAUUUUUCUCAUUUUACAUCUCUGUUGGACCUAGCAAGUGCCUCCUGCAUGCUGGCCUCUGGUCUUAGCACGUCACCCAUCUCCUCACACUUCCAGGUGUUUUUAAUAUUUCCCAGAGGUAUAGUUCUGGGCAUCAGAAUUCCAUAAAACCACAGAAGCUCAGUGCUGAUGGCAAGUAUGAGUGGGGAGUUAAUGCCAUCUUCUCCAUUGGCUACUGAGUGGGGACAGGAAGCCAGGAGGGACAUGUGGGCUUCACUCUACUAAUGAGAGACAAUGGGCACUUUGUCCAGAUAUGCAUCUUCUGUCUUUUUGCCAGCAGAACAUCCACUCUGUCUUGAUAGGAGCCAUUGCCUGGGCUUCCUUGCAAAGCUGGUGUCAGCUCAGUAACAGAUGCUCUUAGGCUUCAUUUCUCCCCUCCCUGCCUCAGUUUUAUUCCCACUCUUUUCUGGGUAAGGUGUUAGAACUUACACGUUACAUUAAACUCUGAGUUCUCAGAACACCUUGGCUAAGGUGCCAUGACUGAGUCAUGUUGAAGGUUGACUAUGGGUUGAAGGUUAAAGGUAGACAGUAAAAAGUGAUUGGUGGGUAUAUGAUAUUCUCUGGGAGGAGAUUUUCACAUUUGAUUUUGAGGAGGAUGAAGAGGAUCAGAAUUGGAGAGCUAAGUGAGGGUGAGGCAGGCAAUCGAGAGGACACCCACACACCUUCUGAGAUGGUGGCUAGAGGAGAUUUGAAGGACCAACAUGUGCAGCAGAGGUAAGGGUGUAGACACUGAGCACUUCCUAAUUUAGGUACUCUGGCCAUCCAGGCUCUGCCAUGUGAAAUGAGGUAGAAAGUUGCCUUUGCAGCUAAAGGUGGUGGUGUUAGUAAAUGAAAGGCUUGGGCCAGCUUGCUGCUGUGUAAAUUUUUUAUACACAGAUUUUUUACAGUCACAUUUCUGGCAGACAUGUAGGUGUGUUUCAACAGUGAACAGAACACCUUUUAGAGAAUAAAUCACCUGGUAGCAUUUAUUUGAAUGUCCCUUGCCCUAAAACAUUUUAACAACCCUGUCAUUUAUUUCUUCCAAAUCAUCUAUCAUUUAUCCUCUCCUGGCUGAGGCCACAUUUAUCCACAGGCCUGGCUAUGAUAAGCCAUCAGAGGUGACAGCACAGAGUUCUGGGACCAGAAGGGUCCAUACUGCCUUGUUUAAGCUGUUUUCCGUUGUUGAACAGGAGAUGCGUGUCACCAGAAUUCCGUGGAUCGUUAACAGGUGAUGGAGAAGUGAGUCUAGAAUUAGAGUGAAAGAUGUGACAGAUGAGAAAGAGGGAGCAGAGGAAGGAAGAGGAAAGACAGAGAAGAGAGGAGGGACAGACAGUGGAAAACGCAAGGAGUUCACAGAAGCAAGGAAGAGAGAAGAGAAAAGGGAAGAAAAAACAGAGAAGGAAGAAGACGGGACAAGAGUGGGGGAAGAAAAAGAUAGGAGGGAGAUGACAAAAAAGAAGAGUAGAAAGCACGAG
ensembl:lncRNA